GCUCAAUGGCGGACAGGACUUUUUUAAGCUUGCAGUUUUGGCAUUUGGGAAAUUGUCAUGCUUGGAGGGUCGCUGUUAUUCAAAGGCUGUCUCAAUUAUUGAAGUUCUUGCAAAGUACCAAACGUGCGUGCUGAUGUUGGAUCUCCAAUUAGAUGCAUUGAUUGUUCAAAUGUUUCAACAUUUUUAAAAUAGUAUAAGGUUGGACCACCCUGAUGAAGUAUUCAUGAACAUCAAAGAAAUAAUGACCAUGAUAAUAAAAGAGAGUGAUGAUAUUCCAAUGCAGCUUCUGAACACCCUUGUGAGCAUCCUCAUAAGUAGUGUAAAGAAGGAAAAUCAGAAUGUUUCACCUCGUUCCUAUGUGCUGGGAGAGAAAGUUCUUCAAGAAAGUGCUGUCAAACUCUAUCCAUAUUUUCAAAAGGCAGUGACGGACCUUGGCAUUUCCUUUAACAACUAUUCAGAAGUUGUUGAAUUAAUCUGGCCGCGAUUAAAACUAAAGCUACGGUGGAAAGUGCUCCGCAAGAGCUUGCACCACAUUCUGCGCAUAAGAACGAUGAUGUUGUUCUAGAGACAGUUUCAUCGUUAAAGGAACCAGAAGCAGCCAAAGAAGCAGUAGAUCCAGAAGCUGCUCAAACUUCAAAGAAAAGAGGUUGGAAACCUAUUUUUUUGAAUAAAGCAGAGGAAGGAUAUGUACAUGCUUGGACAAGUACAGAAAGGAGAUCAAAUAUAAGAGCUGAGGUACUGGGUUCUAUCUCAAACACCAAAGAAAUCAAUUUCCCCAUAGCCUGUAAAAAACAAUGUAAAGAACGUAAAAGGAGGAAGUACUUGCUAUCACAAGAAGAGGACCAAGCAGGAUAAUUCAACUCCAAAAGGAGGGCGCCGAAAUAAAGGGGUCAAGGUGGAUGUGCAUGGCUAUAAAGUAGAAGUUAGCAGGCUCCCAUAUUGACUGCCAUUUUUGCCAAGUAUGGUGACAUUGCAGUCAAUUGUCACUACAAAUCAUUGGCUUCCAGAGCUUCCCUUCUUGAUCUAGUUUGUGACGUCGUAAAGAGGCUGAAAGCUGGUGAUGUUGGUUCUUCAUCAAUCAAACAGAUGAAAUCUUUUGUCUCUACUGCCGUGGAAGUCGUGCUUGAUGUAGCUUGGCUGCAGCAGUUUCUGGAUGAGAUUUCAAAAGAAGAGGAUAUGGAGAAAAGGUUACACAUGGAUAUCGAUAUCCUUCUUCGUUGAAUUGUGGAGCAAGACAUCAAUUUCUCUGUGAAAUGCGUUUAUUAACAUUCGUUUUAUCAAACACAUAACGUUUUUGUUUAUGAUCCUUUGCUCCAACAAUAUUUAGGUUUCUUCAAACAAUCUGAUUGAUAUUUUGUGUCGGUGUGAAUUAGCAUACAUGUAAAUUGCAUUUCGACACACUUAAAAUCGUUUGAACAUUUUCCUACAUUUAAUGUGCUGAAUCUUUCCUUUGUCAUCUGA